rnacentral:rRNA from 1 species
GACGAACGCGGCGGCGUGCUUAACACAUGCAAGUCGAACGAAGAGCGAUGGAAGCUUGCUUCUAUCAAUCUUAGUGGCGAACGGGUGAGUAACGCGUAAUCAACCUGCCCUUCAGAGGGGGACAACAGUUGGAAACGACUGCUAAUACCGCAUACGAUCUAACCUCGGCAUCGAGGAAAGAUGAAAGGUGGCCUCUAUGUAUAAGCUAUCACUGAAGGAGGGGAUUGCGUCUGAUUAGCUAGUUGGAGGGGUAACGGCCCACCAAGGCGAUGAUCAGUAGCCGGUCUGAGAGGAUGAACGGCCACAUUGGGACUGAGACACGGCCCAGACUCCUACGGGAGGCAGCAGUGGGGAAUCUUCCGCAAUGGACGAAAGUCUGACGGAGCAACGCCGCGUGAGUGAUGACGGCCUUCGGGUUGUAAAGCUCUGUUAAUCGGGACGAAAGGCCUUC